GUGCUCGCUUCAGCAGCGCCUAUCCUAAAAUUGGAACGAUACAGAGAAGAUUAGCGUGGCCCCUGUGCAAGGAUGGUAGGCAAAUCUGUGAAGUGUUCCAAAUUUUU